rnacentral:rRNA from 1 species
CAUCGCCACGGUAAUACGUAGGGUGCGAGCGUUAAUCGGAAUUACUUGGCGUAAAGCGUGCGCAGGCGGUUUUGUAAGACAGGCGUGAAAUCCCCGGGCUCAACCUGGGAAUGGCGCUUGUGACUGCAAAGCUAGAGUGCGGCAGAGGGGGAUGGAAUUCCGCGUGUAGCAGUGAAAUGCGUAGAUAUGCGGAGGAACACCGAUGGCGAAGGCAAUCCCCUGGGCCUGCACUGACGCUCAUGCACGAAAGCGUGGGGAGCAAACAGGAUUAGAGACCCCAGUAGUCCCUGUCUCUUAUACC